AUUGAACGCUGGCGGCAUGCCUAACACAUGCAAGUCGAACGGCAGCACAAUAAAGACUUCGGUCUUUAUGGGUGGCAAGUGGCGGACGGGUGAGUAACGCGUAGGAAUCUGUCCUGGAGAGUGGGAUAACCCGAGGAAACUCGGGCUAAUACUGCAUGACAUUGAGAGAUCAAAAGCAGGGGACCGAAAGGCCUUGCGCUCUGGGGUGAGCCUACGUCGGAUUAGCUAGUUGGUGGGGUAAAGGCCUACCAAGGCGACGAUCCGUAGCUGGUCUGAGAGGAUGACCAGCCACACUGGGACUGAGACACGGCCCAGACUCCUACGGGAGGCAGCAGUGGGGAAUCUUGGACAAUGGGGGAAACCCUGAUCCAGCGAUGCCGCGUGUGUGAAGAAGGCCUUCGGGUUGUAAAGCACUUUAGGUGGGGAAGAAAGGUAGCGAGUGAAUAACUUUCUGCUGUGACGGUACCCACAGAAUAAGCACCGGCUAACUCUGUGCCAGCCGCCGCCGUAA
rnacentral:rRNA from 1 species